AUUUGGUGUUGAGAGCAUUUGAUGCACAAUUUCUUGAAUCGCUCCCAAUAGUCAUAAAGAAACUCCCCAGGGUGCUGUUUAAUGCCGCAUAUUUCCUUUCUCAGACU